UUGAAAGUUAAUGAGUAGAGAAAAGGCAAUAAAGCCCUUAGAGGCUUAAAGAGAAAGUAUGAUUAAAUGAGGGGUAUAGUAGUAAUUGAUUAAAGAGAUGAUAAAUAUAAAUAGAAAGU